rnacentral:rRNA from 1 species
AUUAAAAACCAAUGCCCUUCGGGGCUCCUUGGUGAUUCAUGAUAACUUCGCGAAUCGCAUGGCCUUGCGCCGGCGAUGGUUCAUUCAAAUUUCUUCCCUAUCAACUUUCGAUGUUUGGGUAUUGGCCAAACAUGGUUGCAACGGGUAACGGAGGGUUAGGGCUCGACCCCGGAGAAGGAGCCUGAGAAACGGCUACUACAUCCAAGGAAGGCAGCAGGCGCGCAAAUUACCCAAUCCCGACACGGGGAGGUAGUGACAAUAAAUACUGAUACAGGGCUCUUUAGGGUCUUGUAAUUGGAAUGAGUACAAUUUAAAUCCCUUAACGAGGAACAAUUGGAGGGCAAGUCUGGUGCCAGCAGCCGCGGUAAUUCCAGCUCCAAUAGCGUAUAUUAAAGUUGUUGUGGUUAAAAAGCUCGUAGUUGAACCUUGGGCCUGGCUGGCCGGUCCGCCUCACCGCGUGCACUGGUCCGGCCGGGCCUUUCCCUCUGUGGAACCCCAUGCCCUUCACUGGGCGUGGC